CCUACGGGAGGCAGCAGUGGGGAAUUUUGGACAAUGGGCGCAAGCCUGAUCCAGCAAUGCCGCGUGAGUGAAGAAGGCCUUCGGGUUGUAAAGCUCUUUUGUCAGGGAAGAAACGGUCUACUCUAAUACAGUGGGCUAAUGACGGUACCUGAAGAAUAAGCACCGGCUAACUACGUGCCAGCAGCCGCGGUAAUACGUAGGGUGCAAGCGUUAAUCGGAAUUACUGGGCGUAAAGCGUGCGCAGGCGGUUAUAUAAGUCAGAUGUGAAAUCCCCGGGCUCAACCUGGGAACUGCAUUUGAGACUGUAUGGCUAGAGUGUGUCAGAGGGGGGUAGAAUUCCACGUGUAGCAGUGAAAUGCGUAGAUAUGUGGAGGAAUACCGAUGGCGAAGGCAGCCCCCUGGGAUAACACUGACGCUCAUGCACGAAAGCGUGGGGAGCAAACAGGAUUAGAUACCCUGGUAGUCCACGCCCUAAACGAUGUCUACUAGUUGUCGGGACUUAAUUGUCUUGGUAACGCAGCUAACGCGUGAAGUAGACCGCCUGGGGAGUACGGUCGCAAGNUUAAAACUCAAAGGAAUUGACGG
rnacentral:rRNA from 1 species